rnacentral:rRNA from 1 species
AGGCAAUAACAGGUCUGUGAUGCCCUUAGAUGUUGUGGGCCGCACGCGCGCUACAAUGAUGAAGUCAGCGAGUUCACUCCUAGGCCGGAAGGUGUGGGUAAUCUUGUGAAACUUCAUCGUGCUGGGGAUAGAGCACUAGCAAUUAUUGCUCUUCAACGAGGAAUUCGUAGUAAGCGCAAGUCAUCAGCUUGCGUUGAUUACGUCCCUGCCCUUUGUACACACCGCCCGUCGUUACUACCGAUUGAAUGACUUAGUGAGGACUCGAGAUU